GUGUGACUGCGAGUGAGUAUGUGACUGAGGGUGAGUGUGUGAGUGUGUGACUGGGGGUGAGUGUGUGAGUGUGUGACUGCAGGUAAGUGUGUGACCGGGGGUGAGCAUAUGAGUGUGUGACUGUGUGAGCAUGUAAAUGAGUGAGGAUGUGAGUAUCAAGGUGGGUGUGUUUGAGUAAGUUUGUAAGUGUGUGUGCAUGGGAGGUUUAGCUUGUGAGUGCUUGUGAAAGUGUGUGACUGUGAGAGUGUGCAAGGGUGUGGACAUGCAGGUGUCAGCAUUUGAGCUUGUUUAAGAGUGUUUGCAUGUGCACAUCGUGUAGUGCUUGAAUGUUUCUUGUGUGGGGAAUCAUGCAUUGAUAAAACUGUGAUUACAGAUUUUAUGAUGUUGAACAACAGCCUGUAUUAUGAAAUAUAUAUUGUGAUUACCUGGAUUAUUGUAUUUAUUCUAAACUGAUCCCUAUGCUUCAGAAUUGUCCUUUUAAAUAGGGAUGUAUCAUGUUUAUAUAUAGCAUUAAUACAUGCUUUGUGUCAUGCAGAAAUAUAUUUUUGAAUGUUAUCCGUUUCAGUAAAAGACUAAAGAAGACAUGAACGCUCAGAUCUCUCAGUUUCUUCCUAAUUCCUUCCCUAUUUGGCGGUUGAAUAUUAAACAAUGCAGACAAAACCUGAUGAAACGGUAUGAAAACAGUAUUUCCAUAAACACAUCCCUCAACUAGUUUUCGGGGCUGUUAUUGAGGUGGAGGAAUUCACCAGGCUGGCCUGGGUGAGACAGGAAGUGAGCGGAUUUGGGGAGGGUGAUCAUUACCAGUGAAACUGAGAAGGGAGCUCUGUGGCAUGGGGCUCUCUGACAUGCAGGAAUUUGCCUGCGCUGUGAAGUCUUGAGAGGGAGAGAGAGAGAGAAGGGGGAGAGGGAGACAGACAGAGAGAGAGAGAGAAAGCGAGAGAGAGAAUUAUCCUUGAUAAUUAUAGGAUGCAUGACUUGCUGUAACAUGCAUUUUAAUAAUUGUCAAAUAAACUAAACUAAAAGGGGGAGAGGGAGACAGAGAGAGAGAGAGAGCGGGGAGGGAGAGAGAGAAGGGGGAGAGGGAGACCAAGAGAGAGCAGGGAGAGAGAGAGAGAAGGGGGAGAGCUGACUGUCUCUGGUUGCAUCAUGACUGUAAGCACAUUGUCUGUCAGAGCUGGGACAGAGGCACCAGGGUUUACAGUCCGGUGGCACUGAGGGGCAGAACAUAGCAGCCAGCACUGUGCCUUUCACAUACAGGUGGGGAGCCCAGAGGCCCAGCACUGCAGCCAGGUUGCUGUUGCCAGUGUUUCUACAUCUCCAAGCUGUGGUUCAGUGUAUUGGAACACGGCUGCAAAUUCAAGAUUCCAGAUAUGGAGACGGGGUCAGAUAAGUGCCCCUCCCUCUCCCCUCAGAAGAAAGUGGUGAAAAACAGGUCCAUGUCAACUGGGGAAAUCCAGCAAGCCAAAAAGGCCUUCCACACACCUCAGACGUCUCUUCCUGUGAAGUCAGACAUGGAGAGCCUGAAGGAAACUCCAGUGGGCUCAGACACACCGUCCUCAUUCUCUGAGGAGCUGAAAUGAAGCAUACGGGCUGAAUCUGUGCCAGGUUCCCCAGUCUGACAAGAGUUCCUAGGCUUUCUGCUGGUGGAGGAGUAUGUGGGAGGAUCUCCAGGUGGAUAUUGGAAUUUCAAUAUAUGAUUAUGGUCGGCGUCUUUUAUGUUUGUGUUUAAUUAAAAGGAAAAUGUGUUCGUUCAGAAGAGGUUUCCCAUACACUAACCUUCACUUGAGCAGAAUUCCUUUCCCUUUUUGUUUCACAGUUCAGCUGUAAAGUUUACCCAUUGUUUUUUUUCUGAGAUAGGGGUGCCACUCUUGAAGACUAAACCAAAAAAGCUGAUUUAAUAUUAAGCAAACAAUUGACAUGAUUGGGCACUCUUAUUUAUACAAGGCAUUUAGUCUUGCUCUAAGCCCAGGAUUGUCUUUCACUCACUUUUACUCACCUAGUUCCUCCCUGCCUGUAACCGUUACUAAAUGAUAAUAACUUCAAUAUUACUAAACACUUUUUGAUUGGCUGAACCUGCAACCAAUGGGAGACAUUCCUCAACUCAUUCUGUCACAAUUGCAACCAACAGACAUUCAGAAGCAUUCAUGAACACACAAAAAGAAGCACACACAACAGCAAAGACUGUCCUAAUUUGAACUGAACGUAAACAAGUUGUAAUGUAAUCUCACAGGAAAUAGAUACCUAAUCUCUCUGUGUCUCUCUACUUCUCAGUGAAUGUUAUAUUUAAUUGUAAAAGAGACAGGUAAUUAAUUAUGAUUCCUGAGCAUCAGAGGGCGGAGGAUCUGGGGUUAUGGAUCCCUCAAAGAAAUCGUUGAUUAUGUAAUGAUCAAUGUUACGCCGCACCGGCCAAUAUCAGAUUGUCUACAGAGCACUAAAUGGCAUACUGUAACAAUCAAUAUCACAAUACACAGUAACCUAAUGCCCCUCUGUAUCAGAUUUGUCAACAGACAGGCACUAGGAUUUUAAUGAAUUUAUUUGGUGUUCGAUGUUUUUAAAAUCAUCAUAAAGAAUGCUUACAAACACAAACUAAAAAUUUGAAUGUCACUGUGCUCAAACUUUUCUCUUGUUUCCUCAUUUCUGAAAACAAUGAUAAGUGCUAUGUUCCUGAAUGUGUUGAUUAUUCUUGAUUCUUGAUUACUUAUGUUUGAGGGGGUAAAUAUUGUUUUAUGUUCUGGGAUAUUUGCUUGCAGUAAUAUUUAGCUGUGAUAAAAAAAUAUUUUUUUGAUUUUC